CAGCUACUGGUUCAACCUUCUUCAAUGUGGUGUCCCCUACAAAUUUUGGAUUUCAAGUCUCCUUCUCCACAUAGUCAAUGGCCAAAAUACUUCACACAUCUGGAAGCCAUGCAGUUGGAGGAGGCUAUUUUAUGCCACUGCGAAACCUUCAAGGAGCAUUGGAUCUAGUGCAUCCACCCCCUCUCCCCACCAUCUGUGCAAUGUUGUCAAGUGUAACCCUAUAUGUUCAAAAGUUAGAUGGUGCUCUUGCACUCCAGGGCAAAGCGGGGCGGUGGUGACCUCACCAUCCAAGUAUGACAGACCAACACGGAGCUCUGAUCCCCAUCUUUGCAGGUUGUAAAGGAAAAAAAAUGCCACGUAGAAAUGUAUAAAACUGGAAAUACAAAGAAAGGAAUGGGUUGCAAGUCGAAGAAUGCAGAGUGCCGUUUAAAUCCUUUUUUUUCCGAGGCUCAACCUGUUCAGUUCAGCUCGGUUGGAAGUUGAGGCAGACACAGAAAUGGCGCAAACGUUGAAAGGAAAGAAAGGAAGUUAAGUGCAGAGGCAAGUGGCAGAAAUGACAUCUGGAUGUUUCUUGAUCGCACAACAGAAUCUUAUAUCUAGAUUUCCCUGUGGUUGAUCCCUGUGGUUGAUCACAAGCCCAGAGAUGCAGUGACCUCAUCGAUACAUGUGUGACAGCAGACCUCAUUGAUGGAUGUCAUGGUGGGAUCUUCUCUCUUCCAAGUAUCUCUGACUUCUGCUGAAGUCCUUGAACCGCAGCUGAUGAUGUUACAGUCGUGCUCUUUCCAAGAAACAGUUUCCCUGGGGAGGAGCUGAAAUGACAAAUGGUAGCCAAGGGCUGGCACAUUCCAGGUGUCUUCUCUUGGUGUUGUUGAUGGGAUAAGAAGGCCUGAAUCUCAUCAAGGAGGAAUGUGUAAAUGAUGUUACAACAUUCAGGAGGAUUAAGUAAAUGUCCAGAGAUUGCUUUCCAGUAAGCUGAUCUUAGACUGUGGUAUGCUUUGAUAAACCAUCAAGAUAAACCAGCAAGAAGGCAUAUAGAUUAGCAGAGCAGUUGAACAGAGGAGGAAGAAAACUAUAUUCAUCUAUGACUCAUAAGGGUAAAAGUGAUAUCUUAUCAUAGCCCAUUAUAAAUCCUUUGGAAUCAUAUAGGAUAAUAUGACGGCACCCAUAAACACUUAAAUGAGUCUCAAAACAUAGGAAAUUUUAUCUUAUAAAGGCCACAGCUGCCAAUUUAUUGAA